rnacentral:rRNA from 1 species
GACGAACGCUGGCGGCGUGCUUAACACAUGCAAGUCGAACGGUGAAGCUCCAGCUUGCUGGAGUGGAUCAGUGGCGAACGGGUGAGUAACACGUGAGCAACCUGCCCCUGACUCUGGAAUAAGCGCUGGAAACGGCGUCUAAUACUGGAUACGAGAAGGGCCCGCAUGGGCACUUUCUGGAAAGUUUUUCGGUUGGGGAUGGGCUCGCGGCCUAUCAGCUUGCUGGUGAGGUAAUGGCUCACCAAGGCGACGACGGGUAGCCGGCCUGAGAGGGCGACCGGCCACACUGGGACUGAGACACGGCCCAGACUCCUACGGGAGGCAGCAGUGGGGAAUAAUGCGCAAUGGGCGAAAGCCUGAUGCAGCGACGCCGCGUGAGGGAUGACGGCCUUCGGGUUGUAAACCUCUUUCAGCAGGGAAGAAGCGAAAGUGACGGUACCUGCAGAAGAAGCACCGGCUAACUACGU